rnacentral:lncRNA from 1 species
UUCAGUUUUAAUGACUCAAUAUUCUGGACAAAAACAGACAAAUGUAACUAAAACUGGGAAUGUCAAUAACGUUAGCUAGAAAGCUAGCUAGCUAGCUGCUAGGGGGAUGUCUUGUUAUGCCAUUGGAGGAGUGGGUAAGUGACUGACUUUUUCCUCUCAUAUCCUUUUUUGGUGGCUAUACACAGCUAGAGAUGCAGGUGUCAUUUGGUUAGCUAGCAAGAACUUGGACGACUGUUACCCAGUUAGCAUAUAUCUUGUGUUCGCACACUCUCGUCUGAGUGUGCCAGAGCGCAGAACAUCUCAUGAAUUUACGAGCGCGCAACAUCUGCUGAAUAUGACUGGUAUCAGUAAAUGUAGGCUAAAAAGUAAUAGUUAGUCAAGAACGCUCUAGAUAACAUGUAAAAAGCCUAACCAGCUCUGCUACGUUCUGCCCGCUGUGAUUCUGGUCCCUGUAUCCAGUCCGAUUUCUCUCAGUCCUGCUACUCUAUCCUGGAUCCCCCACUCUACACUCCCUUGGAUUCCCCUCCGGACCUGCUUACCCUGUCCCAACACCUCUCGCUCCAGCCUCACUCUCAGCACCAGGUUUCCGGCAAACUGUUUUCGCAGCGUUGAUGCACCUGUACUGUCUAUGACUUCUAGAUGGUAGCAGGGUGAACAGGCCGUGGCUCGGGUGGCUGAGGUCCUUAACAAUCUUCUUUGCCUUCCUGUGACACCAGGUGCUGUAGAUGUCCGGAGGGCAGGCAGGGUGCCUCCGGUGUUGCGAUGGACUGACCACACCACCCUCUGGAGAGCCCUGCUCUUGCAGACGGUGCAAUUGCCAUACCAGGUGGUGAUACAGCCCGGCAGGAUGCUAUAAAUGGUGCAUCUGUAGAAGUUUGUGAGGGUGUUAGGGGCCAAGACCAAUUUCUUCAGCCUCCUGAGGUUGAAGAGGCACUGUUGCUCCUUUUUCACCACACUGUCUGUGUGAAGGGACCAUUUCAGGAUGUCAGUGAUGUGCACACCAAGGAUCUUUUAGCUUUUCACCCUCUCAACUGAGGCACCUUCAUUUUGUUGACAUUGAGGGAGAGGUUGUUUUCCUGGCACCACACCACCAGGGCCCUCACCUCUUCCAUGUAGGCCAUCUCAUCAUUGUUGGUGGUAAUCAGGCCUACCACUGUUGUGUCAUCAGCAAACUUGACAAUUGAGUUGGAGAUGUGAGUGGCCAGGGAGAAUUUUUAUUUUAUUUUACCAGGCAAGUCCGUUAAGAACAAAUUCUUAUUUUCAAUGACGGCCUAGGAACAGUGGGUUAACUGCCUUGUUCAGGGGCAGAACAACACAUUUUUACCUUGUCAGCUCAUGGAUUCGAUCUUGCAACCUUUCGGGUUACUAGUCCAACACUCUAACCACUAGGGGCCACCUGCCGCCCCAGUAUAGUAGGGGGCUGAGCAUGAACUCUUGUUGGGCCCCCGUGUUGAGGACCAGUGUGGUGGAGGUAUUGUUGCCUACCUUCACCAUCUGAGAGAGAGUGUGUGUGGGUGUGUGUGAGAGUAAGCUGGCAUCAUGCAUGCUUGUUUGUGGUGAGUGUGUGUGUGCUUUCCCGGCAUCAUGCAUGCCUGUGUGUGUGUGUGUGCUGCGUCAUGCAUGGCAGUAUGUGUGUGUGUGUGGGAGUAAGGCAGGUUGUCAUCUCAUACCUUCUGCUGUUGAAUCUUAACAUGAUCUGAAUGAUUAUCCUGCUUCAACCACUUUGUCUCACAUCAGCUCAGCAACAUGGUGAACGUUACAGCUAGGUUUGCAAAAGUCUGGAAACUUCCACGGUUUUCCAGAAAUUCCUGUUGGAAGAUUACUGGAGUCAGGAGGGAAUAAGCAGGAUUAUCCAGAAUCCUCCAACCAGAAUUUUGUAAAAGUUACUCAAAUUUUGCAAAUCUAGUUACAGUUGAUGGAGGUUUUCUGCUGCAUCAAAUACAUUUUACAGAAAAGUAAUACAUUUAGUAUUUACAGUAUAAAUGUAAUUCAAGACUUCUUCCUGGGUACAAACUGGUUGUCACAGAUAGGAGAGGCCUGGAAAUCAUGUAACCAUUUUCACAAUAGUUUUUAUUGUUUAUUGUUGUAUUGUCCCAAUUUGAUGCGAUGCAAUGUUUCUUGGUCUGAAUCACCAAAAACUGUCUUUGUUUUGUUUGUUGUACAACUUGAUAAGAUGAAUAAACCAUGAAAAAUUGUCAUGGUGAUAGCUGUUCUGUAAAUAUCAUUGGUGGUCAUUGUCAGCACUCACCUAGGGGCAUGAUUUGGGGCUGUACAAAUGUUUGAUGUAUUAGAAUAAUUGAUUAUGCUUAUGUUAUAUUAAUAGAAGGGGAGGGGUUAUAAGACCCCUCCCUCCUUACAUUUAUAGGGUCCUAGACUACAGAUUAACAAUAUAUAUAUUCAUUAUAUAGUUUUAGAAUGGUUCCACAGUUGUUUUCUCUCUCACUCACUCUACUCUCUCAUAAUGUGUGACUGAGACAGAGCUCUGCAGGGGAGUGUGGGAGAUAAGAGACUACUCAGACAUUCCACAAUAAAUCAACUUUGGGGAGGGGACAUUUAUUGCCUAGCUUUUGGAUAAACACUGAAACUCUAUGUUUGUACAGCUGUGGAUGCAGGGUUUUGGUCUCAGGAGUAAAAAGGUAAUGAUGUAGUCAGUGACAUCACUAAGGCGGGACUUUGGUUUAAUAAAAC